AGGUUGAGCGGGCAGUGUCGGCGGGGCGGAGCUGCUUCCUGUAGGCUCUGAAGCAGAACCCUGCCCCGCUCACUUGGUGGUCGGCUGAAUCCAGUUCCUUGGGCUUACAGGGCUGAGGUUCCCAAUCCUCGAUGGCCGUGAGCCCCGGCUGUUCUGCGCUCCUGGGGCCUGCCGCGUUUCUGCCUGAACUCUCCACACUGCCCCUCCAGCAACAGCAGGUCAAGCCCUCCUCACGCUUCGAAUCCCUCCGCCUGCAGCUGGAGAAUGUUUUCUGCUUUUAAGGGCUCAUGGGAUUAGACUGGGCCACCCAGAUAACCCAGGAUCAUCCUUUCUUGUAUUGUCAAGAACCCUAAUCACAUCUGCGAAGUCCCCUGUGCCACUAGUAGGGUAACACAGUCAUGGUUCUGGGGAUUAGGGGGUGGCAUCCCGAGGGGGCCGUUCUGCUCACCACAAACCGCCCUAUAUAGCACAGGGUGGCCAUCCCUAGUGGGCUGCUAGAUGGAUCUUGCCCUGUGGGCACACUCCUGCCACGCCAGGCUAGGACGAAGGUCCCUCCAGGCCCCAGCAGACUCCCUGUGCGCCUGGCCUUGGAGUGCGUGUCCCGCGUGUGUCCUGUGCCGGUUCCCGCCUUGCCUCCUUACCGACGCGCCUCCCUUCUGGCCUCCAAUCCCCACGGCGGCACUGUGGCCGCAAACGGGUCCACCAGGUAACCUCGUGGUUUUUCUUUUCAAUGCACAAGUAAAAUGUCUCCCCACCGUCUCAUCAAUCUGAGGGACAGGAGUAAUCAACACAGAACUGUGCUGCAGGUACAGCCAAUUAAUGACAACACUUGUUCCUGCAGAACAGAUCCAGCUUCAUGAUCUUUUAGAAGAGAGUUCUAAAAUCAAAUCCUUUACCUCCCAGCCUGAUUACUCUUCAGUCAACAGAAACUUACCAAGCACCUUUUUUGUGUGUGCCAGGCACUGUUCCAGGCACUGGGAUAGUGUGAGAUCCCUUUCUCCCACCCCACACCCCACAGGACAGAGGUUCUUGACCCCCACCUACACAUCAGAAUCCACCAGGAAGCUUUACAAAAUUCCCGGAGAGAUUCUGAUGUCAUUGAUCUUGGGGGUACAGCUUGUUAAAAGCUGCCCAGUUGAUUUGAAUGUUCAGCUAAAUUUGAAACUGCUACACCCCAGGACAUCUGAUUAAUUACACCCACAGCCUUCAAACCCAGCCCAGUUCCACUUAAAAAGUUUUUCAAAGAUGCAUAGAGCAUGACUGAGGAUUCUAGAUAGGAAAAGGAGAAAUUUUAGGCUAUUAAAGUGCCUAUUACAAUUACA
rnacentral:lncRNA from 1 species